rnacentral:lncRNA from 1 species
CGAAACAUGUCGGUCUGUAGCAGGCGCAGGAUCAGAGGAAGAAGUACCAGCACGGUGCUCACCGGGACAACCGCAUCACAUGAGCUCUAAGCUCUGCAAUCUGUCUCUGCUGAUCAGCAAGCUGAGCCCGUAUAUCAUCAUCAUAGUGCGAGUCAGUGUGCUCGGGCUGUGGUGCUGCGCUGGCUGUAGAAGCGUGAGCUNN